rnacentral:rRNA from 1 species
CCUACGAGUGGCAGCAGUGAGGAAUAUUGGUCAAUGGACGAGAGUCUGAACCAGCCAAGUAGCGUGAAGGAUGACUGCCCUAUGGGUUGUAAACUUCUUUUAUAUGGGAAUAAAAUGUUCCACGUGUGGGAUUUUGUAUGUACCAUAAGAAUAAGGAUAGGCUAACUCCGUGCCAGCAGCCGCGGUAAUACGGAGGAUCCGAACGUUCUCCGGAUUUAUUGGGUUUAAAGGGAGAGUAGGUGGAUUGUUUAGUCAGUUGUGAAAGUUUACGGCUCAAACGUAAAAUUGCAGUUGAAACUGGCAGUCUUGAGUACAGUAGAGGUGAGCGGAAUUCGAGGUGUAGCGGUGAAAUGCUUAGAUAUCACGAAGAACUCCGAUUGCGAAGGCAGUUCACUGGACUGCAACUGACACUGAGGCUCGAAAGUGUGGGUAUCAAACAGGAUUAGAUACCCGAGUAGUC